rnacentral:rRNA from 1 species
AAUUCGACGCAACGCGAAGAACCUUACCAGGGCUUGACAUCCCCUGACCGCGUAUGAAAGUACGUUUUCACCUCGGGUGACAGGGAGACAGGUGGUGCAUGGUUGUCGUCAGCUCGUGUCGUGAGAUGUUGGGUUAAGUCCCGCAACGAGCGCAACCCCUACGUUUAGUUGCUAACAGGUGAAGCUGAGCACUCUAGACGAACUGCCGUUGACAAAACGGAGGAAGUGGGGAUGACGUCAAAUCAUCAUGCCCCUUAUGUUCUGGGCUACACACGUGCUACAAUGGCCGGUACAGACGGAGGCGAAGCCGCGAGGCGGAGCAAAUCCGAAAAAGCCGGUCUCAGUUCGGAUUGCAGGCUGCAAUUCGCCUGCAUGAAGUCGGAAUCGCUAGUAAUCGCGGAUCAGCAUGCCGCGGUGAGUACGUUCCCGGGCCUU